AGGGUUUGAUUAUGGCUCAGGAUGAACGCUGGCGGCGUGCUUAACACAUGCAAGUCGAACGAACCUUCGGGUUAGUGGCGGACGGGUGAGUAACGCGUGAGAAUCUGCCCUCAGGAGGGGGAUAACGGUUGGAAACGACCGCUAAUACCCCAUAUGCCUAUUGGUGAAAUGAAUUUCGCCUGAGGAUGAGCUCGCGUCUGAUUAGCUAGUUGGUGAGGUAAUGGCUCACCAAGGCUUCGAUCAGUAGCUGGUCUGAGAGGAUGAUCAGCCACACUGGGACUGAGACACGGCCCAGACUCCUACGGGAGGCAGCAGUGGGGAAUUUUCCGCAAUGGGCGAAAGCCUGACGGAGCAACGCCGCGUGAGGGACGAAGGCCUCUGGGCUGUAAACCUCUUUUCUCAAGGAAGAAGAUAUGACGGUACUUGAGGAAUAAGCCACGGCUAAUUCCGUGCCAGCAGCCGCGGUAAUAC
rnacentral:rRNA from 1 species